rnacentral:rRNA from 1 species
GGUUUGAUUCUGGCUCAGAUUGAAGGCUGGCGGGAUGCUUUACACAUGCAAGUCGAACGGUACACGACCCUGGUCUGGUGGCGAGUGGCGAACGGGUGAGUAAUGUAUCGGAACGUGCCUAGUAGCGGGGGAUAACUAUGCGAAAGCGAAGCAUACGCUGCACCCGGGGGAAAGCGGGACCUUCGCCUUCGCACUAUUAGAGCGGCCGAUAUCGGAUUAGCUAUUGGCGGGCAACGGCUCACCAAGGCGACGAUCCGUAGCUGGUUUGAGAGGACGACACCAGCCACACGGGAACUGAGACAUCGCCCAGACUACGGGAGGCAGCAGUGGGGAAUUUUGGACAAUGGGGGAAACCCUGAUCCAGCCAUCUCGCGUGUGCGAUGAAGGCCUUCGGGUUGUAAAGCACUUUUGGCAGAAAGAAACGGCACGGGAUACCCCGUGCAACUGACGGCAAUCAUAAUAAGCACCGGCUAACCGCUGCGCCAGCAGCCGCGGUAAUACGUAGGGUGCAAGCGUUAAUCUGGAAUUACUGGGCGCAAGCGUGCAGGCGGUUCGGAAAGAAAGAUGUAAACCAGAGCUAACUUCUUGGAACUGCAUUUUUAAUCACCGAGCUGAAGAUGCCGGAGGGAGGUGGAAUUCCGUGUAUGCAGGUAAACGCGCAGUAGAUAUGUUGAGGAAACGACCGAUGCGCAAGUAGCCCUCCGAUAAUACUGAUAAGCCUACGACGAAAGGUAAGAGCAAACAGAGCGAUGACCCCGGUAGUCCACGCCCUAAACGAUGGGUCAACUAGCUGUUGGGGCCUUCGGGCCUUGCAGCAGCUAAUGUUAUUGACCGCCUGGGGAGUACGGUCGCAAGAUUAAAAACCUUGAAAGAAUCUCACUUAAAAUCCGCACAAGCGGUGGAUGAUGGAUUAAUCUGAUGCAACGAAAACCUUACCUACCCUUGACAUGUCUGAAUCCCGGGAAGAGAUUUUGGGAGUGCUCGCAAGAGAACCGGAACACAGGUGCUGCAUGGCUGUCGUCAGCUCGUGUCGAGAUGUUGGGUUAAGUCCUGCAACGAAAGGCAACCCUUGUCAUUAGCUACUGAAAGGCACUCUAAUGAGACUGCCGGUGACAAACCGGAGGAAGGUGGGGAUGACGUCAAGUCCUCAUGGCCCUUAUGGGUAGGGUCACACGUCAUACAAUGGUCGGGACAGAGGCGGUCGCCUUCAACCCGCGAGGGGGAGCCAAUCCCAGAAACCCGGAUCGUAGUCCGAGACCGAAGUUCACAACUCGACUGCGUGAAGUCAACCGCUAAAAUCGCGGAUCAGCAUGUCGCGGUGAAUACGUUCCCGGGUCUUGUACACACCGCCCGGGUCACACAGCGGGCUUACCAGAAGUAGUUAGCUGGAACGGAGGGCGAUUACCACGGUAGAUCUGCUGACUGGGGCGAAGUCGCAUCAGCGUAA